rnacentral:rRNA from 1 species
GACGAACGCUGGCGGCGUGCCUAAUACAUGCAAGUAGAACGCUGAAGCUUGGUGCUUGCACCGAGCGUAUGAGUUGCAAACGGGUGAGUAACGCGUAUGUAACCUGCCUGGUAGCGGGGUAUAACUAUUGGAAACGAUAUCUAAUACCGCAUAAGAUUAUAUGUUGCAUGACAUUUGCUUAAAAGGUGCUAUUGCAUCACUACCAGCUGGACCUGCGUGGUAUUAGCUAUUUGGUGAGGUAAGGGCGCACCAAGGGAAGGAUACAUAGCCGACCGGAGAGUGUGUUAGAGCACGCUGGGCCUGAGCGACGGCCCAGAACCCUACGGAAGGCAGCAGUAGGGAGUAUUGGGGAAUGGACGAAAGUCUGACCGAGCAACGCCGAGGGAGUGCAGAAGGUUUUCGGAGCGUAAAGCUUUGUUGUAAGAGAAGAACGAGUGUGAGAGUGGAAAGUUCACACUGUGACGGUAUGUUACCAGAGAGGGACGGCUAAAUACGUG